CCUACGGGAGGCAGCAGUGAGGAAUAUUGGUCAAUGGUCGGGAGACUGAACCAGCCAAGCCGCGUGAGGGAUGAAGGUCCAGAGUAUCGUAAACCUCUUUUGUCAGGGAACAAAGGCGGGCACGCGUCCCCGAUUGAGGGUACCUGAAGAAAAAGCAUCGGCUAACUCCGUGCCAGCAGCCGCGUUAAUACGGAGGAUGCGAGCGUUAUCCGGAUUUCUUGGGGUUAAGGGGGGCGCAGGCGGCCUGUUACGCAAGCGGUAAAAGCCCGGGGCUCAACCCCGGCCCGCCGUUGAAACUGGCAGUCUCGAGUUGGAGAGAGGUAUGCGGAAUGCGCGGUGUAGCGGUGAAAUGCUUAGAUAUCGCGCAGAACUCCGAUUGCGAAGGCAGCAUGCCGGCGCCACACUGACGCUGAGGCACGAAAGCGUGGGUAUCGAACAGGAUUAGAUACCCCAGUAGUC
rnacentral:rRNA from 1 species